CGUUUUGCUGCAGCGACGGGAAGGAAACCUUCAACUCUGGUAGCCCUAACUUCUGCUGGGAACAAAACAGGAGCAGCACAAGGACAGGCUGGCUGUUCCCCUGGCUCCAUGCUGCAGCUGUGUCUGCUGCGAAGACCAGGGGCCUAAUUCUUGCUGCUUACCUUGGAAGGCUGCUGAAGAACUUCACUUCGCAUCCUUGGUGAGGCUGGCUGUUGAGUACGGGUAUGUAUACAGAGCCAGUUGUGUGUAAGCCUGUGCUAAUAUGUACACAGCAGGUAGAAGAGUCUAGACUCCAGGGCAGGAAGGCUGCGGAGUUUGACGGCUAUUAACCUGUCGAGAAGCGCACCUAGCUCCUAGAUCAAAGCCAGAAGAGCCUCUGGCUGGUGAUGCUACCCAGCGUGGCGUACCCAAGCCAAACAAAACCGAGGAAUUCAUCGAGGUUACACAUCCUCCAGCACGCAGCUGAAAGGAAGGGUCUGUAUUUUCUCCCUGGAAACUUUGGAGAAUGUUACCCUCUGGCUUUCAAGAUAAACAGUUGUAGUCACAGCCCAGCUAUUCUGGCAGAUGGACCUGUGCCCCAUAGCGUGUGUGUAUACACACACACGCACACACUCCCCUGUUCCUCUGGCUCCCUUAGGGAAAAGGGAUCUUUGCUCCAAAGCAAGCUGCCCAGGAGCAGGUUCCUCUUGCCAACCAUACCCCCACUUUGCUGUGCCACCAGCCGGGCUUUGGCAGGCCGGGGCCAGCGCUGCCCUGGGUGGGGAGAAGACCAAGGGGUGGAUGAAACAUGAAAAGUGAGUGGCGAGAGGGGCAAAAACGCUCCAUCACCCAGGUUUAAUAGAUAAACUACCCACAUCCAUUUGUAAAGCUGAAAUUAUUUGCCUGAUGGCAUGAAGCAGGGAAGGGUAACGUGGCAUCAGUGGCUGCUGGAUGGAGACACCAGCUUUAGGAUGAGUUCAGGUCAAAAGGAGCCAUCUCCUCCAUGUGCCUUUGCAGUGAGUGUAUGUGCAGGUAACGCUAUUGCUAAAGCAGUUGUGGGUGUGUGCAGCACAGCUGCUCCCUGCGCAGCCUGGCCUGCCUCCCACCAUCCAUGGCACCCCACCCAGCACCCCAUAAACUCCAGCUCAGCACCAGGACGGGGUUUCUCUGCAGAGGCUGCUCACUCUUCACCAUAUGGGUGUUUACCCUCUUCCUUUUAACAAACAUAUUCACUGCCACUUUCAGCACCCCUUGAAUGUCCCAGCGGGCACACGCCCUUCUUAAGGGCACCCCAAAUCUGCCACUUGUUUGGCAGCUCAGAGCUGGUGACAGCCUCAAGUCCCCUCCCAGGGCUGCGUGGGGCUGCCCCCUCCCGAGGAGCAGAACAGCCCUGAACAAUCCCCAUUGUCCCCACGGCCAUUGUUCCCCACCGUCCUCGUCCCCGGCCAGGCUGCAGCUGGCACGGUGCACAGAGGGGCUGAUUGUUUGGGUUGCUGUGCUGCUGAUGACACACCACUUUGGGACAGCUUCUUCCCACGGCAAAGGCCUCCUGAGUCAAGUGCUGCAUUUGCUCCUUUAUUUAUUUGUUUGGUUUCUGCUUUUCCUCUUUGUUUUUUUUUCUUUAUUUUCGCUUGGUUGGAUGAGGCUCUGCUGAGGCUGUGGAAGAAGCCAAGGGAGUGCCGAGGCUGGUCAGCGUGGGCAGCCCAGGUCCUCUCCAACGUGGGGGGGGGGAGUGCCUGGGGUGGACAAAGCCUUGCAGCACACUAAUGCUUAGCCAUGACAAAGCCCUGGGUUGUGUCAGAUGCCUCGGUGGCCUGCCAGCUCACACCUUGUUGCGCUGGGAGGAUGGAAACAGCACAUUGUACCUGCUGGGCAGGAGGCAGGAUUAGCUCUCCAUAAGCUGAACGUCACCAAUGUGAAUUAAUUUGUGCACUGCAAGAUGCAAAGGAAAAGGUUUCUGGUUUGUUUUUUUGUUUUUUUUUUGUUUUUUUCCCCCUAAGCACACUUGGCCUGCCUGCCUCCCCCAGCGUUGGUGGCCGUGACAUUAAGACAGGAGGAACCAUGGCUCAUAGUCUCACGACGGUGGGGGGACGUGCCCUGGGCAGCGCUGGCCCUGCUAGCGCCGUUCAUGGUGCUGGGCUGGGGAGGGCAAGGCUGUGCCCAAAGGGCUUUCAGCAGCUGCAAAGGCUUCGAGGAAUGGUUGUAGUCGGUAAAGUGUGUUCCAGCUUCGGCAUUUCAUAUGGUGCUACGGGAGACCAGGAGGUUUUAAAUGCUUGCGUGGAAAGUUUGAGCACUGCAGUAUUCAUGACGUGUGCAAUAAAAAGGAUUCCCUUUCCCUUCCCUGCUCCUGCCCACCCUCCCGUCUCCCCAAGCCUGUUUAGCAGCUGCUGUGGUGUGCAGCCUUCACACCUUAUGGAAACACAGCGGUGUCAGGGCUCAGGAAGGCCCAUGUUAUUAGGGUGAUAUCUUGAAAAGAACCUGUUUAUUCUGAGCACAUCUGUGCUAUGAGGUGAGCGCCCAAAGAGAGAGCUGGGCUUUGAAGUUCAGCCAGAACCAUGCCCAUAUUUCAGUUCUUUCAUCAAAAAUGCCAGUGAACCUGAAGCAUAAGUCAGUGGUGGUAAGGGGCAGCAGCAGCAAGCUUAGUUACGGGGCUCUUAGGCUUCUUUAAAAAACUAUAUGAGUGAGGGAAGACCUUAUAAAUGGGUAAAGUGGCAGAUAGCAUCUUAAAAGCGGGGAGGGGGUGGCUAGAAGUGACCAUGUUGCUGUUUGGACUAGUUCUUCAUUCACCAUAGGGAAAGCAAUCAAAAAGUUGUGAAUAUCUUUUCAUCUGAAAAAAAAAAUAAUGUCAUGAAAACUGUUUUUAACCACUAACGAUCCUUCCCAGGCCUGGAAGAAGUCAGCCAAAAGAUUCUCAAGACCUUUAAAAGUAUUUUGACACAGUACUGCCUCAUUUGGACUAAAAAAAAAAAAUAUAAGACCCUGGCCCUUUGGCUGCAUUUUCUCAGAGAACGUAGGCCAGUUGAAUGAUGUAGGCAGCUGUUAUUCCAAAUCAGGGCACAGUGAAAAUGUGGGGCCAUCAUAGUGUUGUGGUAGUGUAUGAGCAGCAAAACAGAGAAUUCUGGCCUGGAAACUGCUCGCUUUUAUUCACCUCCCAGGUGUGUGCCUUGGAAACUGAAAAUGUGAAGAAAUGGGAUGAACGAGUCCAGUAAAAGACAGUGGUGGACCGCAAAGUGUCUGUGUGUGAAAGCAAGCGAGCUCAUGGGCACACACCUGUCUGUGCACGCACCUGAAUGUUCAUCUGAUCUUCAGAUGCUGUUGCUUACAUGGAAAGAAGGUUUCUUUUAUACUUGGGAGUAAGUUCCCUUUAUAUUCCAGUCUCUCUACAGUUUUUUUUUAAGCCUCUCUGUCUUUUUGUCCAAAUUAUUCAAAGUUGCUAACAGCCUCAUUUUCCUUUACCACAAUUACCAAUGCCAUACUUGUUUGAGAAGCUGUGGCUUUCAGCUGGGAGAGAACUUUGCCGUAUGAAUUCAGAGCAAUUUCCCUGCCUUUCAUAUAUAAUUAAUGCAGUCAGCUCCUUUUGAUUUAAUGCAGCCAACAGGAACCGCAUCUGGUGGCACAAGCGCCUCGCAGUCACUUCGGCAUGUGGGUCUCUUGGAGAUGCCGCUGGCCCCGUCUGGGUGACUUUGAGCGUGUCAUGAGACCCCCUGGGCUGGUCACCCUACAGCAAGGUGAGCAGCAGUAGUGCUACGGGGCUGAGCGAUCAGAGCUGCUUUCCUUGCAAAGUCUCAGCCAGAUGGAACAUUUGCUGGUGGCCACGAGCCCUGCUGCCAUCUCGCAGGACGCUGCCUUCAGACCUUCUUCAAUGCAUGUAUUGAUUUCUUUUUUUCCCCUCUCCCUCUCUUUAGUGAUUGAUUUCCAGACAGAUGCGUGAACUGGACACAGAAACUGUUGUUUUGACUGUGCAUGUCAAUGGAUUGUGCUUGGGGGGGUGUGCACAUGCUGGGGGGGGGGCAGAGCUGGACAUCGCUCAGCACAUGCAGCCCAGCCCAGCAGGAGCGAGCGGCCCGCUGAACGCUGGCUUUAUGGGUUGCUCCCAUCUUAAGGCCCUUAUUAAUGCUUAAUAGAUAGUUCAACACAGAGCCAAUUGAUUUGUGUAUUGCUAUAGACACAAACCAUUUAAUACAUUGUUUAUGGGCCUUUUUAUCUACAGUAUGUUCUAUUGAUAGGUCUGUCUGUGACGUGCUUAUACCCUAUUAAUAAUGCAUUGACCAUUGACAAGGAUGGUAUAGAAAGCGUGAUAUGCUCUCGCUGGUGCUCUUUAUGUCUCUCCCUGCUCAAGCUAUUGCAGUGGAUUUUGACAGUUAAAAUGCAAAAUAUUUUUUAGUGAGUGUCUUAUGCUAGUGUUAAAAAAAAAAACACCCAAAUUAUUUAUUCUCAUCCUUCAGUCUAUUGCCCUCAAACAUCCCACGGAUUGAGUCGUGUGGAAUUGAGUUAUUGUUCAAUCCAGAGGGUGUUUAGGCACUGUAGUUUUACUGCCACACUUUCAAAGGGUGCCAAGAUGGUACCCACCAGUACAAAGGGAAAUGUGUAACAGGGAAAGCAUAGUUGCAAUUUAACACUCCUGCCCCCAUGCACCCCCUCCUUGCCCUCUGCCCCAGCUCCCAGCCUCCAUGUCUUAUCAGGACUUCCUGGGGAGGUAAAUCAUUAAUGAGUCUGGGGGUUAACUGGGUUAAAAAUGACUGCCUUUAGGAUCAGGGGGUCAAUAAAUGUCAGUGCUAAAUGGCACCUACCCUGAUUGCACGUGCCUCCUCAACGUUUGGAGAUGUCAAUGCUGAAUCAAUUCACAUUUGGAUGCUGAAUCAAUACAGAUUUCUCAGUACAACGGCACAAAGUCCCAUUCCUUGCCUACCACAGCAGGGUCUGAGCAGGCAGCAGGCUGGGUCCUGCGCCCCAGCCCCGGCCCAGGGGUCCCGCCGAGCCGCAACGGUGCGGGGAAAGCAUCGGCAAAGCAGGGCCAGCACGGCUGUGACCAAGGGGAGGCAAAGCCUCAGAGAGAGGAAAAUCUGGAAAGCUCCUUGGCCAGAAUGGGGCCAAAGGACUUUGCCAUUAAUGACUGUCAAUUUAAUUACCCAGGGAAGUGGCCCUUGGCUGGGGGCGGGUGGGCUGCACACGCUGUGCAGGGCUGAGCUCUGCACUGCUGCAGGCUUCGCUGGAGCUGCAGCUCCUCCAGCCCACCCUCCUCUCCACAAACACCUGCCAUGGCAACAAAAAGCCACACUUUUGGUAAUGAAAGGCCAGAAGUUUCUUACUCCCAUUCAGGUUAUGCCACACAUUAGCAAGAACUGACAGCCCUGUUGCUUCAGUCCAGCCCUUUUGUUUUGGACCCGUGCGUUCCCGCGGCCAUGCAUCGCUGCGCCUGCCAGAACGCCGAUAAAGGCUUGCAGAGCCCCAUUCUCCCGCAGGAGAAAGAUGUGCACCUUCGUUGCAGGUGAGGCAGCGCUGAGCAGGGGCCGUGACCAGGAUGGGUUGUGACACCGCGCGUGUGCGUGCGUACACUGGGCGCGGGGCUUUAGCAUCACCAGACGCGCGCGCUCCCUGUGCGUACCUUACCAGGCCUUGGUCUCGCGUGGCAGGACUGCAAGCCCAGCUGUCUCUUGACCACUGGGGACUGUCUUAUCUUCAACUGAAUACCCUAGUCAAGGCAAAUUCCUGCUGGGACUCAUUUUCUGGAUGACCAUGUUCUGCACGUGAUGGAGAGCGUGAGCAGAGACCCUGGACAACUUU